CGACAGCAAUAUGAAGGUCAGGCUGAAGACCUUACCCGAUUAGCUGAGAGGUGGUGCAUGGCCGUCGUCAGUUCGUACUGUGAAGCAUCCUGUUAAGUCAGGCAACGAGCGAGACCCACGUCCACAGUUGCCAGCAUACCCUCCGGGGUGAUGGGUACACUGUGGAGACCGCCGCUGCUAAAGCGGAGGAAGGAGUGGGCAACGGUAGGUCAGUAUGCCCCGAAUCUCCCGGGCUACACGCGGGCUACAAUGGUUGGUACAAUGGGUAUCUACCCCGAAAGGGGAAGGAAAUCUCUUAAAGCCAAUCGUAGUUCGGAUUGAGGGCUGCAACUCGCCCUCAUGAAGCUGGAAUCCGUAGUAAUCGCGUUUCAACAGAACGCGGUGAAUACGUCCCUGCUCCUU
rnacentral:rRNA from 1 species